GACCGAGGGUGCAAACGUUGUUCGGAAUUACUGGGCGUAAAGCGCGUGUAGGCGGCAGGGCAUGUCGGAUGUGAAAUCCCGUGGCUCAACCACGGAAGUGCACCCGAAACUGCCCAGCUUGAGUCUCGGAGAGGAAGGCGGAAUGCUUGGUGUAGAGGUGAAAUUCGUAGAUAUCAAGCGGAACACCGGUGGCGAAGGCGGCCUUCUGGACGAUGACUGACGCUGAGACGCGAAAGCGUGGGGAGCAAACAGG
rnacentral:rRNA from 1 species